AGUGAACGCUGGCGGUAGGCCUAACACAUGCAAGUCGAACGGCAGCACAGUAAGAGCUUGCUCUUACGGGUGGCGAGUGGCGGACGGGUGAGGAAUACAUCGGAAUCUACUUUUUCGUGGGGGAUAACGUAGGGAAACUUACGCUAAUACCGCAUACGACCUACGGGUGAAAGCAGGGGAUCUUCGGACCUUGCGCGAUUGAAUGAGCCGAUGUCGGAUUAGCUAGUUGGCGGGGUAAAGGCCCACCAAGGCGACGAUCCGUAGCUGGUCUGAGAGGAUGAUCAGCCACACUGGAACUGAGACACGGUCUAGACUCCUACGGGAGGCAGCAGUGGGGAAUAUUGGACAAUGGGCGCAAGCCUGAUCCAGCCAUACCGCGUGGGCGAAGAAGGCCUUCGGGUUGUAAAGCCCUUUUGUUGGGAAAGAAAAGCAGCAGGUUAAUACCCCGCUGUUCUGACGGUACCCAAAGAAUAAGCACCGGCUAACUUCGUG
rnacentral:rRNA from 1 species